GGCCUACUCAUGCAAGUCGAACGCUGUAGCAAUACAGAGUGGCAGACGGGUGUGUAACGCGUGGGGACGUGCCUUUCGGUUCGGAAUAUACUCAGGGAUACUUGAGCUAAUCCCGGAUACGCCCUUUGGGGGAAAGAUUUAUUGCCGAAAGAUCGGCCCGCGUCCGAUUAGCUAGUUGGUGUGGUAAUGGCGCACCAAGGCGACGAUCGGUAGCUGGUCUGAGAGGAUGAUCAGCCACACUGGGACUGAGACACGGCCCAGACUCCUACGGGAGGCAGCAGUGGGGAAUAUUGGACAAUGGGCGCAAGCCUGAUCCAGCCAUGCCGCGUGAGUGAUGAAGGCCCUAGGGGUGUAAGCUCUUUCGCCAGGGACGAUAAUGACGGUACCCUGGAUAAGAAGCCCCGGCUAACUUCGUGCCAGCAGCCGCGGUAAUACGAAGGGGGCUAGCGUUGUUCGGAAUCACUGGGCGUCAAGCGCACGUAGGCGGAUCUUUAAGUCAGGGGUGAAAUCCCGAGGCUCAACCUCGGAACUGCCUUUGAU
rnacentral:rRNA from 1 species